rnacentral:rRNA from 1 species
GACGAACGCUGGCGGCGUGCUUAACACAUGCAAGUCGAGCGGUAAGGCCCUUUCGGGGGUACACGAGCGGCGAACGGGUGAGUAACACGUGGGUGACCUGCCCUCAGCUCUGGGAUAAGCCCGGGAAACUGGGUCUAAUACCGGAUAUGACUCCAUGACGCAUGUUGUGGGGUGGAAAGCCUUGUGCGGCUAGGGAUGGGCCCGCGGCCUAUCAGCUUGUUGGUGGGGUGAUGGCCACCAAGGCGACGACGGGUAGCCGGCCUGAGAGGGCGACCGGCCACACUGGGACUGAGACACGGCCCAGACUCCUACGGGAGGCAGCAGUGGGGAAUCUUGCGCAAUGGGCGAAAGCCUGACGCAGCGACGCCGCGUGAGGGAUGACGGCCUC